rnacentral:rRNA from 1 species
GUAGGUGGCAAGCGUUGUCCGGAAUUAUUGGGGCGUAAAGCGCGCGCAGGCGGUCCUUUAAGUCUGAUGUGAAAGCCCACGGGCUCAACCGUGGGAGGGGUCAUUGGAAACUGGGGGACUUGAGUGCAGAAGAAGAGAGUGGAAUUCCACGUGUAGCGGUGAAAUGCGUAGAGAUGUGGAGGAACACCAGUGGCGAAGGCGACUCUCUGGUCUGUAACUGACGCUGAGGCGCGAAAGCGUGGGGAGCGAACAGGAUUAGAUACCCUGGUAGUCCACGCCGUAAACGAUGAGUGCUAAGUGUUAGAGGGUUUCCGCCCUUUAGUGCUGCAGCUAACGCAUUAAGCACUCCGCCUGGGGAGUACGGUCGCAAAGACUG